GACGCUGGCGGCGUGCUUAACACAUGCAAGUCGAACGGUGACGGAGGAGCUUGCUCCUCCUGAUCAGUGGCGAACGGGUGAGUAACACGUGAGUAACCUGCCCCAGACUCUGGAAUAACAGUUGGAAACAGCUGCUAAUACCGGAUACGAGACGGAGAGGCAUCUCUACCGUCUGGAAAGUUUUUCGGUCUGGGAUGGACUCGCGGCCUAUCAGCUUGUUGGUGAGGUAAUGGCUCACCAAGGCGACGACGGGUAGCCGGCCUGAGAGGGCGACCGGCCACACUGGGACUGAGACACGGCCCAGACUCCUACGGGAGGCAGCAGUGGGGAAUAUUGCACAAUGGGCGAAAGCCUGAUGCAGCAACGCCGCGUGAGGGAUGACGGCCUUCGGGUUGUAAACCUCUUUCAGUAGGGAAGAAGCGCAAGUGACGGUACCUACAGAAGAAGCACCGGCUAACUACGUG
rnacentral:rRNA from 1 species